GGGACCAGGACCAUGUGCCUAUUCCUUGCCUGGGACAAUAAAUGAUUUGGCGUUCAGUAUAACGUCCCGUAGAGAUUCUACUGAAGUUUGGAAAUCACCUGGUCCUGCGACAUACUAUUUGGGAAAUCCUGAUGUUUAUAAGCAUCGCAAUGGUUCAUUUUCCUUGACGUCUCGUACGAAAGAAUAUUCAACAUUCAAGUCACCAGGACCUGCUGCGUAUUAUGCGAAAACCCAUCCUGGUUCUAAGGGUCCUUACAGUUUCUCAUUUGGAUCUCGAC